rnacentral:misc_RNA from 1 species
GGAAUAUUGGUCAAUGGGCGAGAGCCUGAACCAGCCAAGUAGCGUGCAGGAUGACGGCCCUCCGGGUUGUAAACUGCUUUUAGUUGGGAAUAAAAAAAGGGACUUGUCCCUUCUUGUAUGUACCUUCAGAAAAAGGACCGGCUAAUUCCGUGCCAGCAGCCGCGGUAAUACGGAAGGUCCAGGCGUUAUCCGGAUUUAUUGGGUUUAAAGGGAGCGUAGGCGGAUUGUUAAGUCAGCGGUUAAAUGGUGUGGCUCAACCAUGCAUUGCCGUUGAAACUGGCGAUCUUGAGUGCAGACAGGGAUGCCGGAAUUCGUGGUGUAGUGGUGAAAUGCUUAGAUAUCACGAAGAACUCCGAUCGCGAAGGCAGGUGUCCGGGCUGCAACUGACGCUGAGGCUCGAAAGUGUGGGUAUCAAACAGGA